CCGGCUAUUCGCCCUCUUCUCAUCCUCGCAUAUUCUUCUUGUGGACAAAUUUAUCUAGGUAUUAUUCUUUUUGUUAUUUAUAUAAUGUUUGUGCACAGAUUCAUCUAGGUAGCAGAGGCCGGAGGACAAGCUUCUUCUCGCCACUCCUGAGUCCUGACUCCACUCCAGAUCUGUGACGGUUCCAGCGUAGACUCCAGGCAGGCCACUCGGUAGAUCCGUAGACAGCAGACCAAGGGUAGGCCGUAGGUGGAGGAGCUCUACCUCGGCGGCAGAUCUGCACUAGCGGAUCUGCAAGAUUUCGACUCCGGUGAUAGCUCGAGUCCGGUGCUUCUCCGGCGGCAGAGGACAGAAGAGAAGUACAAAUUUCAACAUCCACGGCCAAAUAGACCAAAGUCACUGAGGAAGAACAGACUAAAGUCACUGAGGAAGAAGAACCAGUUGAAGCGCAAACUUAAAAUUUUUAUUUUAGUACUGUAUUUAGUAAAUGAGUUUGAUGAUAGACUUUUUGUUAUUUUAAUGAAAUUCUUGAUUAGUAUAUUCAAGUAAAAAUUUAUGCUAUUUAAA